UUUACUGGUGGAUUUAGUUCAUGGAGCUUCCAUUCGGUGGUGACUUCUACAUCUUCUCAGACAUGGUUAUUUAUAGUGGUUAAUUAUUUGAGCCCCAACCCAAGUAUUCUCUCCACCUUCUGAUCCCAUCUAUCGACAAGCUUUGGCUUUUACUUGGAAGAAAAAAUGUGGGAGCAGAAAUCCAGAAUCAAUUGGACCAACUUCGGUGGCUCUAAUACAGAGGUUGAGUCUCAAAGGAAGGUUACGACUACCAUUUGAAAUAGCCAGUGACUAGCGAGGAACUCAAGUGAACUGUUAUGAAUAUGCCAGCUCUAAAGGCCCCAGGUCCAUAGGGGUACUCAGGGAUCUUCUUCCACAAGGUCAUGCAGGUUCGGGUGGAGUUUUUUUGAGGACUAUGUGGGGAUAUACAUAUUCUGAUGUGGUAGAAGCUCUGGCAGCUAAACAUGCUCUUCAAAUUGCAGUUCAUUGAGGCUACGUGCAGCUUGUUCUUGAAGGAGAAGACUCACUACCGAUGGUAAUCAAUGUCAUCGACACGAUUGCUCAAGAUCCACAGCAACUGAUCACUAAUAUCAUCUCAGAUUGUUUUUCUUUUUGUUUGAAUCCUUCCCAUGUUAGCUUUUAGGCAGGAUAACUUUGCAGCAAAUUCCAUGAUCCCCCUCCCCACUUAUCUCCUUUUUUGUAUUAUGACCUACGUAAAUCCUCCUUACCUCGUUCUGUUUGGCGUUAAAUGAAGUCUCUUAAAUUUUAUAAACUAAAA